UCUCUGGGUGAUGAUGGAUACUUUGUAUUUCAUUGGCUCAAUGGAGAACAUAAAAUAGGAUAUCUUUCGGAGGAUUUGGAAUUGGUGAAAGAUUAUGAUAUCUCUUGGCAAGACUGGAAAAGCAUUGCUUGGUGUGAUAAUCUUGUUCCUAACGUGUAUGGAACAGAAGUAUACCUCACUUGUUCUUUAAAUGAUGCGCAGGAUGUUAUCAUUUUCCAGACAAAGCUUGGGGGAGAGAAAACCUAUCUUGGUGCAAGAGCAGAUACAUCAGAAGCUUAGAAAACUAUCGUUAUAUAUAUAUUGAAAUAUAAAACAGAUUUUUAA